GACGAACGCUGGCGGCGUGCUUAACACAUGCAAGUCGAACGGAAAGGCCCUGCUUUUGUGGGGUGCUCGAGUGGCGAACGGGUGAGUAACACGUGAGUAACCUGCCCUUGACUUUGGGAUAACUCCAGGAAACUGGGGCUAAUACCGGAUAGGAGCUCCUGCUGCAUGGUGGGGGUUGGAAAGUUUCGGCGGUUGGGGAUGGACUCGCGGCUUAUCAGCUUGUUGGUGGGGUAGUGGCUUACCAAGGCUUUGACGGGUAGCCGGCCUGAGAGGGUGACCGGCCACAUUGGGACUGAGAUACGGCCCAGACUCCUACGGGAGGCAGCAGUGGGGAAUAUUGCACAAUGGGCGGAAGCCUGAUGCAGCAACGCCGCGUGCGGGAUGACGGCCUUCGGGUUGUAAACCGCUUUCGCCUGUGACGAAGCGUGAGUGACGGUAAUGGGUAAAGAAGCACCGGCUAACUACGUGCCAGCAGCCGCGGUGAUACGUAGGGUGCGAGCGUUGUCCGGAUUUAUUGGGCGUAAAGGGCUCGUAGGUGGUUGAUCGCGUCGGAAGUGUAAUCUUGGGGCUUAACCCUGAGCGUGCUUUCGAUACGGGUUGACUUGAGGAAGGUAGGGGAGAAUGGAAUUCCUGGUGGAGCGGUGGAAUGCGCAGAUAUCAGGAGGAACACCAGUGGCGAAGGCGGUUCUCUGGGCCUUUCCUGACGCUGAGGAGCGAAGCGUGGGGAGCGAACAGGCUUAGAUACCCUGGUAGUCCACGCUGUAAACGGUGGGUACUAGGUGUGGGGUCCAUUCCACGGGUUCCGUGCCGUAGCUAACGCUUUAAGUACCCCGCCUGGGGAGUACGGCCGCAAGGCUAAAACUCAAAGGAAUUGACGGGGCCCCGCACAAGCGGCGGAGCAUGCGGAUUAAUUCGAUGCAACGCGUAGAACCUUACCUGGGUUUGACAUGGAUCGGGAGUGCUCAGAGAUGGGUGUGCCUCUUUUGGGGUCGGUUCACAGGUGGUGCAUGGCUGUCGUCAGCUCGUGUCGUGAGAUGUUGGGUUAAGUCCCGCAACGAGCGCAACCCUUGUUCACUGUUGCCAGCACGUUAUGGUGGGGACUCAGUGGAGACCGCCGGGGUCAACUCGGAGGAAGGUGGGGAUGACGUCAAGUCAUCAUGCCCCUUAUGUCCAGGGCUUCACGCAUGCUACAAUGGCUGGUACAGAGAGUGGCGAGCCUGUGAGGGUGAGCGAAUCUCGGAAAGCCGGUCUCAGUUCGGAUUGGGGUCUGCAACUCGACCUCAUGAAGUCGGAGUCGCUAGUAAUCGCAGAUCAGCAACGCUGCGGUGAAUACGUUCCCGGG
rnacentral:rRNA from 1 species